UUGCAGUUAAAAAGCUCGUAGUCGGAUUUCAGUAUUAGGCCCUUCUUCCAAUACGGUUGCUAGUGGUCUUUACUUCCUUAACAGAAUCUUUCAUUUUAUUAAUUUAAAGUGUUUGGGGCCUGUUUCUUUUACUUUGAGAAAAUUAGAGUGUUCAAAGCGGGUUUUCGCCUGGAUAUUACUCUUGGAAUAAUAAUAUAGGACUUUGGUUCUUUUUUGUUGGUGACUUAGAACCGAAGUAAUGAUUGAUAGGGACAGUUGGGGUCAUUCGUACUAUGAAGCGAGAGGUGAAAUUCAUGGACCUUUGUAUGACGAACUACUGCGAAAGCAUUUGACUAGGAUGUUCCCGUUGAUCAAGAACGAAAGUUGGGGGAUCGAAGACGAUCAGAUACCGUCGUAGUCUCAACCAUAAACUAUGCCAGCUAGGGAUUGGAGGAAGAUCAUUUUACGUCUCCUUCAGCACCUUAUGAGAAAUCAAAGCAUUUGGGUUCCGGGGGGAGUAUGGUCGCAAGGCUGAAACUUAAAGGAAUUGACGGGAGGGCACCACCAGGAGUGGAGCCUGCGGCUUAAUUUGAUUCAACACGGGAAAACUUACCAGGUCCGGACAUGGGAAGGAUUGACAGAUUGAAAGCUCUUUCUUGAUUCUAUGGGU
rnacentral:rRNA from 1 species